GAUGAACGCUAGCGGCAGGCUUAAUACAUGCAAGUCGAGGGGCAGCAGGUCUGUAGCAAUACAGAUGCUGGCGACCGGCAAACGGGUGCGGAACACGUACAGAACCUUCCUUCGAGCGGGGAAUAGCCCAGAGAAAUUUGGAUUAAUACCCCAUAGUAUAUUGAAUAGGCAUCUAUUUAAUAUUAAAGAUUUAUCACUUG
rnacentral:rRNA from 1 species